AGCAGCCGCGGUAAUUCCAGCUCCAAUAGCGUAUAUUAAAGUUGUUGCAGUUAAAAGCUCGUAGUUGAAUUUCGGGAUCAAAGGAUCGGUCAUGCCUUGGUAUGUACUGGUUUUAUUGGUUCUCACCUUCUAAAGAACCAUAAUGUCAUUCAUUUGAUGUUAUGGGGAAUUAGGACUGUUACCUUGAAAAAUUAGAGUGUUUAAAGCAGGCUUACGCUUGAAUACAUUAGCAUGGAAUAAUGAAAUAGGACAUCAGAUUCUAUUUGUUGGUUUCUAGGAUCGAUGUAAUGAUUAAUAGGGAUAGUUGGGGGCAUUAGUAU
rnacentral:rRNA from 1 species